AUUUUCACCUCUUUAAUUUUUUUAAUUAAAAAAAGAAAAUAAAAUUAGAAAAUCACUGUCUCACAAGCACGAUGGAAUGGAACCCUCAAACUCUUCAACUCGUCUCUGAAAGCUUCCUCAACACUCUCUCAAGCACCAGAGCCUCGCCGCCGCGCCGAAUCCUCCGUAGUUGAAGCAGCCGAUCUUCCAAACUUCUACCUCGUCUUACUCCGUCUUGUCCUCGAACAAGCUGUUGGUGAGCAGAUCCAUUAAUCCACCGCCGUCAACUUAAAAAACCACCUCCGUCUCCGAUGGGUGUUAAAAGACAGUUCGAUCCUUGAUUUCGUGAUGGAACAGAUCAAAAUCCUAAUCGUCUCUCUAAUGCUCUCCGCUACUCCCAAAAUCCAAUCCCAGUUUAGCGAAACCCUAGCUAUCAUUGACAACCAUGAUUUCUUCAAAUCAUGGCCAUCACUCUACCUGAACUCGUCGUCUAUCUCCAAAAUGCAUCUCAAGUUAACGAUUACGCUUCCAUUAAUGGUAUUCUAGGUAUGAGACAAACCUUCGCAUAAAAGCUGAGUCUCAUGCUGCCUCAGUUGAAGAGAAAGAAGCAUCUUUAGAAGGUAGGUUAGGCCAACUAUCAGAGAGCAUAGAGAGAGUGAAUAAAAUAGAGUUCAGGAUGAUAAUUCACAACUGAAGAGUGACUCAGAGUUUUCUAUUUCUAAAUAAAUGCAAAUGCAGCUUGAACAAGUGGAAUGCAAGCUAAUAAUGCAGAGAUAGAAGUAGAGCUGCUAAAAGAGCAACUGGAACAUCUUAAGGACCAAUUCAAUGAGCUUUGCGUGUGUUGGGUCUAUUUGGUGGUGCUACAAAAUGGAUCCUUCCAUGCGGACACUUCAGAGGAUUUCAGGAUAUGGAUGCUUCUAAUGUUCCAAACGAGACAAAUUUUCGAAGUUCAUGCCUGGAUGAAGAUUGAAGAGAGGAAGAUUAAAGGCUUCUUUUAUCUUAGAUAUGCUUUUUUUUUUAUUUUAAAUUUUUAGUAAGAUCUAUUUUGGUGCUUUUAUCUUUUAGACAAAAUCUCGUUUUUUUCGUUAUUUUGAUACAUUUGUAAGACUUACUAUUUUGACAAUAUAAUUGAAAAUUUAUUUGACGUUAUUUUAAA